rnacentral:rRNA from 1 species
GUGGGUAACCUGCCUUGUAGCGGGGGAUAACUAUUGGAAACGAUAGCUAAUACCGCAUAACAAUGGAUGACACAUGUCAUUUAUUUGAAAGGGGCAAUUGCUCCACUACAAGAUGGACCUGCGUUGUAUUAGCUAGUAGGUGAGGUAAUGGCUCACCAAGGCGACGAUCAGUAGCCGGUCUGAGAGGAUGAACGGCCACACUGGGACUGAGACACGGUCCAGACGCCUACGGGAGGCAGCAUG